AUGGAACACAAGGCGUUGAAGUCGCAGAGCCCUCGGCCUGGACUUCGCGCACCAGCCGCGGACACGACGCCUCGGGCCCCGUGCCGCAAGACGUCCCACGCCCGGCUGUGCGCCGUGGCCGCUGCCCGCGCUCCGCCCGAGCCCGCCUCGGGCCCCGCGCCGCAAGACGUCCCACGCCCGGCUGUGCGCCGUGGCCGCUGCCCGCGCUCCGCCCGAGCCCGCACCAGGCCAUGGCCACCACACCACAAGACCCGGCCACCGCGCCGUCGGACGCGGCCACAGCACCAACUGCGCCGAGACGGUCCUCGCCGCCUCGGCCCUCUUCCGCCUCCGCUAACGGCUGACGACUCCAUGCCCGUGCGCUCGGCUGUAUCCAAAGUCAUGGUCGCGACCUCCUGCGUCGUGGCCUCGCCGCCUGCGUACACGCCGUGGCCGGUAGCGCCAGGCCGUGGCCGCGCUCCUCGCGCUUCGCCCGGCCUCGACUGGCCGCCGCCCGGCCGUGCCCGUGGCCGCCGUCGCGCCUGCGCCAACCGCCUGGGCUCCGCCUCCACCCCCUCGGGCGUCGUCCGCCAUGGAGCAGGGAUGGAGAACACCGGAUCAAAACAGGCUAAAGGUGAGAAUAGAGCAAUGCCUCUGUCGCGACGACGUUCGCCGCCGUCGCUUCAUCACCCAUCGCCGCCGUGGAGAAGGUGGUGUUCACGGCCGCCUCAACCGCGCCUCUGCCCGUUGACCCCGUCGCCUCUUGGCGGCUGCCCUCCUGAGGGGCAGCACGUCGGCCUCCCUCGGCUGCGCGGCCGUGGAUGCGAAUACGUCUGCCGCGCCUCUUCCCUCGCCGACCCCCGCGAGACCGCCGCCUUUGCCGAGGACAGGCGCACGUCGCCAGUCGCCACCUCGUGGCCCUUGGCCUCCCGUAGCCCAACUCGCCGGCGGCCUCGCCAUCGAGCAGCCGUGGGCGCCGUGCUGGGACUCGCGAGCGGCGUCGCGCCCGGGACGCUGCUCCCUGGCGGUUCCUCGGACGAGGACGAGCGCGGCGGGAGUUCCUCUCGCCGCCGGUGA
rnacentral:rRNA from 1 species